rnacentral:rRNA from 1 species
UUAGUUGCCAUCAUUCAGUUGGGCACUCUAGCGAGACUGCCGGUAAUAAACCGGAGGAAGGUGGGGAUGACGUCAAAUCAUCAUGCCCCUUAUGACCUGGGCUACACACGUGCUACAAUGGUUGGUACAACGAGUUGCGAGUCGGUGACGGCGAGCUAAUCUCUUAAAGCCAAUCUCAGUUCGGAUUGUAGGCUGCAACUCGCCUACAUGAAGUCGGAAUCGCUAGUAAUCGCGGAUCAGCACGCUGCGGUGAAUACGUUCCCGGGCCUU